rnacentral:rRNA from 1 species
GUCCACGCUGUAAAACGAUGAGGACCAGGUGUCGGGAUCGAAUCCCGGUGCCGGCGUUAACGCAAUGAGUCCUCCGCCUGGGGGAGUAUGCACGCAAGUGUGAAACUCAAAGGAAUUGACGGGGGCCCGCACAAGCGGUGGAGUAUGUGGUUUAAUUCGAAGCAACGCGAAGAACCUUACCAGGCCUUGACAUAGGAUGCGAAGACCCAGAGAUGGGUUGGAGGCUAUCAUCCAUACAGGUGGUGCAUGGUUGUCGU